rnacentral:rRNA from 1 species
AUGGCCGCCGUGGCUUCGGUGUCCGGUUUGCACGGGACGGCGGCUACAGGGAAAAAGCGCACGGCAGAUAUAGGGAGGAAGGAGAUACGGGGGCUCACUCACCUCGCGCACGAGGUUGAAGAGGACGUAGGCUGGCCGGAGCGGAGUCGAGAGAGAGGAAGAAGCCGGCGACGUCCGGGAAGUAGAAGAGGACGCGGACGUAGUCGUUCCCGGCUCCUCCGGUCUUGCAGCUUGCGGGGGUCGACGGCGGCGGACGAGGGGCUGCUUCUCGCGGCUUCGGAAGGCUGGAGACGGCGGGGAUCACGCCGGAGCAGAUCUCGCGCUCGCUCUGUCUGUGGCGACGGCGGCUAUGCGUGGGAGCUUACCUUGAUGGGGGGAGACGAGAAGAGGGUGGGAAUGGAGAGAGGAGGGGCGAUUAGGGCUCUCGGCGGCAUUAUAUAG